CGUGAGAUGUUGGGUUAAGUCCCGCAACGAGCGCAACCCCUAUCCUUUGUUGCCAGCACGCAAUGGUGGGAACUCAAAGGAGACUGCCGCGGACAACGCGGAGGAAGGCGGGGAUGACGUCAAGUCAUCAUGCCCCUUAUGUCCUGGGCUACACACGUACUACAAUGGGAUGGACAGAGAGCAGCGAAGCCGCGAGGCCAAGCGAACCCCAUAAACCAUCUCCCAGUUCGGAUUCUCAGGCUGCAACCCGCCUGCA
rnacentral:rRNA from 1 species